rnacentral:rRNA from 1 species
GGGGAAUCUUCCGCAAUGGGCGAAAGCCUGACGGAGCAAGACCGCGUGGGGGAGGAAGGUUCUUGGAUUGUAAACCCCUUUUCUCAGGGAAGAACAAAAUGACGGUACCUGAGGAAUCAGCAUCGGCUAACUCCGUGCCAGCAGCCGCGGUAAUACGGAGGAUGCAAGCGUUAUCCGGAAUAAUUGGGCGUAAAGCGUCCGUAGGUGGCUGUUCAAGUCUGCCGUUAAAGACCGGGGCUUAACCCUGGAAAGGCGGUGGAAACUGAACGGCUAGAGUGCAGUAGGGGUAGAGGGAAUUCCCAGUGUAGCGGUGAAAUGCGUAGAGAUUGGGAAGAACACCGGUGGCGAAAGCGCUCUGCUGGACUGCAACUGACACUGAGGGACGAAAGCUAGGGGAGCGAAAGGGAUUAGAUACCCCUG